ACGAACGCUGGCGGCGUGCUUAACACAUGCAAGUCGAACGAAGCUAUGCGACGGAAUCCUUCGGGAGGAAGAUGUAUAGACUUAGUGGCGGACGGGUGAGUAACGCGUGAGCAACCUGCCUACAAGAGGGGGACAACAGCUGGAAACGGCUGCUAAUACCGCAUAAGACCACACUUUCACAUGAAAGAGAGGUCAAAGAUUUAUCGCUUGUAGAUGGGCUCGCGUCCCAUUAGCUAGUUGGUGAGGUAACGGCCCACCAAGGCGACGAUGGGUAGCCGACCUGAGAGGGUGAUCGGCCACAUUGGAACUGAGACACGGUCCAAACUCCUACGGGAGGCAGCAGUGGGGAAUAUUGGGCAAUGGGGGAAACCCUGACCCAGCAACGCCGCGUGAGGGAAGAAGGCUUUCGGGUUGUAAACCUCUGUCCUUAGGGACGAAGAAGUGACGGUACCUAAGGAGGAAGCUCCGGCUAACUACGUGCCAGCAGCCGCGGUAAUACGUAGGGAGCAAGCGUUGUCCGGAAUUACUGGGCGUAAAGGGUGCGUAGGCGGCGCGUUAAGUCAGAUGUGAAAUACCCGUGCUUAACAUGGGGGGUGCAUCUGAUACUGGCGUGCUUGAGUGCAGGAGAGGAAAGCGGAAUUCCUAGUGUAGCGGUGAAAUGCGUAGAUAUUAGGAGGAACACCAGUGGCGAAGGCGGCUUUCUGGACUGUAACUGACGCUGAGGCACGAAAGCGUGGGGAGCAAACAGGAUUAGAUACCCUGGUAGUCCACGCCGUAAACGAUGGAUACUAGGUGUAGGGGUCAUAAGGCCUCUGUGCCGCAGCAAACGCAAUAAGUAUCCCGCCUGGGGAGUACGACCGCAAGGUUGAAACUCAAAGGAAUUGACGGGGGCCCGCACAAGCAGCGGAGCAUGUGGUUUAAUUCGAAGCAACGCGAAGAACCUUACCAAGGCUUGACAUCCUCUGACGACUGUAGAGAUACAGUUUUCCUUCGGGACAGAGAGACAGGUGGUGCAUGGUUGUCGUCAGCUCGUGUCGUGAGAUGUUGGGUUAAGUCCCGCAACGAGCGCAACCCUUGUCACUAGUUGCCAGCAUUUCGGAUGGGAACUCUAGUGAGACUGCCGGGGACAACUCGGAGGAAGGUGGGGACGACGUCAAAUCAUCAUGCCCCUUAUGUCUUGGGCUACACACGUGCUACAAUGGCCGGUACAAAGGGCAGCGAAGCCGCAAGGUGGAGCGAAUCUCAAAAAGCCGGUCUCAGUUCGGAUUGUGGGCUGCAACCCGCCCACAUGAAGUCGGAGUUGCUAGUAAUCGCGAAUCAGCAUGUCGCGGUGAAUGCGUUCCCGGGCCUUGUACACACCGCCCGUCACACCAUGGAAGUUGGGGGGACCCGAAGCCGGUGGCCUAACCGCAAGGAGGGAGCCGUCGAAGGUAAAACCAAUGACUGGGGUG
rnacentral:rRNA from 1 species